rnacentral:misc_RNA from 1 species
UCAAACUUGGUCAUUUAGAGGAAGUAAAAGUCGUAACAAGGUUUCCGUAGGUGAACCUGCGGAAGGAUCAUUAAAGAGGGGUAAUCCUGAGCGCGAUAGCGCGAAGGUGUGCGAGGCGCGUCAGCGCUGAGCCAGCGGGUGUGAGCCCGUGGUGUGGGGCGUGAGUGUGUGAGCACGAGCGUGCCCCGAGGGGAGGCGAUGCGAGUCGUCCUCUCUGUGAGCAUGUGAUGUAUCAUGAAAUCUAUAUCAACAUAUCACAACUCGCAACAAUGGAUCUCUUGGCUCCUGCAUCGAUGAAGAACGCAGC